ensembl:lncRNA
CGGCGCCGCCCCUCCGGCCGCACCUCCGGCGCGGAAAGUUGCCCGCCGCCUGCCGCGCGGCCCCUCCCCUCCGCCGGCUGUUUGCGUUUAAAAUCCGCCCCCAUCUUUAAAACGGGGCUCCGGGUCUCUGCGGCCGCCGCCGCUCCCGGCCUCCCUUCCCCCACCCCUCGCGUCCACGCGGGCCCCGGCGACCCCCGGGGCGGGCGGACACCCCAAGUCUGCGUCUGAUCGGCCGCGGGCUACCCGCGCCGGCGGCGAGGAGCCGCUCAGAUUGGUCUGUGCGCCCUGCUGCGUCGGUUUCGGCCCCGGACCCUCCGGCGGGCUUCUGCUCCCCGGGCCGGGGCCCGAGCGCCGGCGCUGGGCCUCCCCGUACGCGGACGGAAGGUGUGUCCGGCCGCCCAACGGCCCAGGACCCUGCGGAGGCCGGCUUCGCGGCAGGGGCAGGGGGCACGAGGCGAAAAGCAACUUUUACCCGCUUGCGGCUCCCUUCCGCGGGCUCCUCCCGGGCCGGCACCGCGAUCCGCGACCCUCAGACGGAGACCCCUCCCCUAGGAAUGUGGCCUCGCUCGGCCGAGUCCGCCCUUCUGCAGUCCGCGCCGCGCGCGAGCUAGGACUUCCCCCUGCAGGCUUGGUUGAAACGUCAAUGUCCCUGCUGAUUCUCCUCACAAGGAAGAAGCCUUCCAGUCACUGUGGUGCCCCUGAAGACAGCUGCUCAGGCCUGGAUCAAGUUGUCAGGAGUUAUUACAGUUCCUACUUGAACAGAGUUGGGUUUCUUUUCAGUGCAGCCUGUUUUAUUUUUCUGGCCCUUGUGCUGUGUUUGCUCACACAGCUUAGUUGUAUAAAGGCUUCUCUGAAGUCAGGAGCACGUCCAGCGCUACAGAUGACCACUGGAGGUGGACGAUGGUUCCUGAACCCAGACCCAGCUCUGCUUCCCGGGACUCUGCUUACAGAUGAGGAAGAGGCCUCAGCCCCAGGGACCACAGAGCCAGCCGCCAGUGGAUCCAGCAGCUGGACGUCCCCCUCCUGCUCUUCCUUCCNNNNNNNCGCCCUUGCUCAAGCCCUCUUGUCCUUUCUUCCCGUCUUUCCCUUUGCCCUGCUUCCCAUAUCUUCCUUUUUUCCCUAUUCAGAUGGAGUCGCACUCAAUUAAGCAGAGGCCGUAGCUAUAUUUCCUCUCGCGUCCUGGCGUCCGUGCGGUCGUUUUCAUUUUCUUCUCUUUGCCAGCAGCACUUGUCUCCACUUCAACGUCCUCCACCACCUACCCAACAGCCUGUCCUUCACGCCGCCGGGCGGCACCAGCACUGUCCCUGGAGUCACCGUUGCAGGACUUUCCUUACAGGGGACACAUCUCACCUGAGAACACAGGCUUGUUACAUGUCCCUGCCUGCCCAGUUCUGUUACCCGAGAGAGAAACUAAACUUCUAUCACAUUUGAGCCAUUAUUAUUUUUUACAGAUACAUAUCCAGAGGUACAUUCUAACAUACAGAAUUUAUAAAUUCAUAUUGCACAUGUCACAUUUAUCUGUACACAGCAGAUGAUGGGCCUUGCCAAGAGAACAAGUAGAAAGGUAAGAUAUUCUAAUGACUCCAAGUCAUUCUGACAAGUUUUCAUCUUUACUAGACUCCUUUGGUGUCACAAAUGACAUCCAAUAAUGGCUUUAAUGAUGAAAGACAGAAGAUAUUUUAACUUNNNNNNNNNNNNNNNNNNNNNNNNNNNNNNNNNNNNNNNNNNNNNNNNNNNNNNNNNNNNNNNNNNNNNNNNNNNNNNNNNNNNNNNNNNNNNNNNNNNUGAUGAAAGACAGAAGAUAUUUUAACUUUCCUAAUCUUUUUUUUGGGGGGUGGGGGGCUGGUAAUUACAGACUUAGCAGCAACUUGCAAACACAGCGAAAGGAGUUCCAUUUAACCUCUACCCGCAUUCCCCAAAUGUUAACACUAGCACAUUCACGUCAUCAUUGUUUGUAUAUCAAUUCUUGUCUGAAACAUUUGAGAAUGAGUUGCAGAGGCACUGCCCCUCUACCCAGGAACACUUUAAGUGGCUAUUUCCUAAAAACAAGGGCUUAUGUGCAAAGUAACCACAGGAAGACAAGCAAAAUUCACCCUCAUACAAUACUAUUAGCUAACCUAUAGGCUUUCUUCAGAUUUUACCAAUUGGCCCAAUAAUGUCCUUUAAUACCCCAAAAGACAAACAAGAGCAAACCCCAAAUUAUAUGUUGUCAUCAGUUCUAGUGUCUUCCUAGUCCUUUUCAACCUGCAAAAAUUUCUGUCUUGCCCUGUUUUACCUAGCCUUGACAUUUUUGAGGAGUCGGUUAUUUUAUGAAAAGUCCCUCCAUUUGGGUGCUUCUGAUGCUUUUCUCACAAUUAGAUUCAUUUUUUUGUAUUUUUGCGCCAGAAUCUUCCAGAAGUACUGCUGUGUGUCUCAGCGUGUCGUUUCAUGAGGCGUAUAUGGAGGCCACUGUCUCAUUACUGGGGAUGUUGACGGUGAUCGUGGGUUGGAAUGGUGUCUGCUCUGAAAAUUAUUCUU